AACGAACGCUGGCGGCAUGCUUUACACAUGCAAGUCGAACGAGUAUGGAUCUAGCUUGCUAGGGACCCAGCUAGUGGCAAACAGGUGAGUAACGCGUGGGAAUCUACCUAAUAGUAUGGAAUAGCUGUUGGAAACGACGAUUAAUACCAUAUACGCCCUUCGGGGGAAAGAUUUAUCGCUAUUAGAUGAGCCCGCGUUAGACUAGCUUGUUGGUGGGGUAAUGGCCUACCAAGGCAACGAUCUAUAGCUGGUCUGAGAGGAUGAUCAGCCACACUGGGACUGAGACACGGCCCAG
rnacentral:rRNA from 1 species